rnacentral:rRNA from 1 species
GACGUAGGGCGCAAGCGUUGUCCGGAUUUAUUGGGCGUAAAGAGCUCGUAGGCGGCGCGUCGCGUCGGCUGUGAAAACCCGCAGCUCAACUGUGGGCCUGCAGCCGAUACGGGCGGGCUAGAGUUCGGUAGGGGAGACUGGAAUUCCUGGUGUAGCGGUGAAAUGCGCAGAUAUCAGGAGGAACACCGGUGGCGAAGGCGGGUCUCUGGAUCGGUACUGACGCUGAGGUGCGAAAGCGUGGGGAGCAAACAGG